AGAGUUUGAUCCUGGCUCAGGAUGAACGCUAGCGACGGGCUUAACACAUGCAAGUCGAGGGGCAGCGGGGGUGAUGGCUUGCCAUCACCUGCCGGCGACCGGCGCACGGGUGAGUAACACGUAUGCAACCUGCCCGCCACAGGGGGAUAAGCGGAAGAAAUUCCGUCUAAUACCGCGUGACGCGGCGUCGGGGCAUCCCGGUGCCGCCAAAGGGAUUACCGGUGGCGGAUGGGCAUGCGGCGCAUUAGCUAGUCGGCGGGGUAACGGCCCACCGAGGCGACGAUGCGUAGGGGUUCUGAGAGGAAGGUCCCCCACACUGGUACUGAGACACGGACCAGACUCCUACGGGAGGCAGCAGUGAGGAAUAUUGGUCAAUGGGCGGGAGCCUGAACCAGCCAAGUCGCGUGAGGGAUGACGGUCCUACGGAUUGUAAACCUCUUUUGCCGGGGAGCAAGCGUGCGUUCGUGAACGCGCGUCGAGAGUACCCGGAGAAAAAGCAUCGGCUAACUCCGUGCCAGCAGCCGCGGUAAUACGGAGGAUGCGAGCGUUAUCCGGAUUUAUUGGGUUUAAAGGGUGCGUAGGCGGGAUGCCAAGUCAGCGGUAAAAAUGCGGUGCUCAACGCCGUCGAGCCGUUGAAACUGGCGUUCUUGAGUGGGCGAGAAGUAUGCGGAAUGCGUGGUGUAGCGGUGAAAUGCAUAGAUAUCACGCAGAACUCCGAUUGCGAAGGCAGCAUACCGGCGCCCUACUGACGCUGAGGCACGAAAGCGUGGGUAUCGAACAGGAUUAGAUACCCUGGUAGUCCACGCAGUAAACGACGAAUGUAAACUGUCCGGUGCGAGUGAGCGCUGGGCGGUACAGCGAAAGCGUUAAGCAUUCCACCUGGGGAGUACGCCCGGCAACGGUGAAACUCAAAAGGAAUUGACGGGGGCCCGCACAAGCGGAGGAACAUGUGGUUUAAUUCGAUGAUACGCGAGGAACCUUACCCGGGCUCAAACGCAGGAUGACGGGUCCCGAAAGGGGCCUUUCUUCGGACAUUCUGCGAGGUGCUGCAUGGUUGUCGUCAGCUCGUGCCGUGAGGUGUCGGCUUAAGUGCCAUAACGAGCGCAACCCCUGUCCACAGUUGCCAGCAGGUAAAGCUGGGGACUCUGUGGAGACUGCCGGCGCAAGCUGCGAGGAAGGCGGGGAUGACGUCAAAUCAGCACGGCCCUUACGUCCGGGGCGACACACGUGUUACAAUGGCAGGUACAGCGGGAUGCCACGGGGCGACCCGGCGCUGAACCCGAAAACCUGUCUCAGUUCGGAUUGGAGUCUGCAACCCGACUCCAUGAAGCUGGAUUCGCUAGUAAUCGCGCAUCAGCCACGGCGCGGUGAAUACGUUCCCGGGCCUUGCACUCACCGCCCGUCAAG
rnacentral:rRNA from 1 species